CUUAUGUGGCUUCCCCAAAGCCUGAGUCUAGACCUGAUUCCCUACACGCCGCAGAUAACUGCCAGGGACCUGGGAGGGAAGGUCACAGCCACUACGUUCUCUCUGGAGCAGCCUCGGUGCGUCUUUGAUGAGCACGCCUCAAGUAAUGACACCAUCUGGCUAGUGGUGGCUUUCAGCAAUGCCUCCAGGGACUUUCAGAACCCACAGACCGCUGCUAAGAUCCCGACCUUCCCACAGCUGCUGACUGACGGCCACUAUAUGACAUUACCCCUGUCCCUGGAUCAGCUGCCAUGUGAGGACCUGACCGGUGGCAGUGGAGGUGUUCAGGUGCUUCGGGUGGGCAAUGACUUUGCUCCUGGCUUUCCUGGCAGCCUCCACUACGCGUUUCUCCAGCCUGUGGUGGCCUGAGGAAGCCCCUGAGCAGCUGCGGAUUGGCUCCUUCAUGGGAAAACGUUACAUGACUCACCAUAUCCCCCCCAGCGAGGCUGCCACACUGCCGGUGGGCUGCGAGCCUGGCCUGGACCCCCUUCCCAGUCUCAGCCCAUAGCUUGGUCUCUGGAUCUUGGGCUGGUGUGAGGGGCACAGAGCAGGUGCCCCUCCUGUGGGGCAGGGUGGGGCCCUUGCAUCUCCACAGCCCCUCCUAUCUGCCUGGCUGUUUUAUCUUCUGCGUCUGGUUCUGUCUGUCACUCGCCUCUGUAUGUAAGUGCAUUUACAAGAUCAGG
rnacentral:lncRNA from 1 species